rnacentral:rRNA from 1 species
GGGUAGUUUGACUGGGGCGGUCUCCUCCCAAAGAGUAACGGAGGAGCACGAAGGUUAGCUAAUCACGGUCGGACAUCGUGAGGUUAGUGCAAAGGCAUAAGCUAGCUUGACUGCGAGAGUGACGGCUCGAGCAGGUACGAAAGUAGGUCUUAGUGAUCCGGUGGUUCUGAAUGGAAGGGCCAUCGCUCAACGGAUAAAAGGUACUCCGGGGAUAACAGGCUGAUACCGCCCAAGAGUUCAUAUCGACGGCGGUGUUUGGCACCUCGAUGUCGGCUCAUCACAUCCUGGGGCUGAAGUAGGUCCCAAGGGUAUGGCUGUUCGCCAUUUAAAGUGGUACGCGAGCUGGGUUUAGAACGUCGUGAGACAGUUCGGUCCCUAUCUGCCGUGGGCGUUGGAAGAUUGAGAGGGGUUGCUCCUAGUACGAGAGGACCGGAGUGAACGCACCACUGGUGUUCGGGUUGUCAUGCCAAUGGCAUUGCCCGGUAGCUAAGUGCGGAAAAGAUAAGCGCUGAAAGCAUCUAAGCGCGAAACUUGCCUCAAGAUGAGUCUUCCCUGGGCCUUUAAGGCCCCUGAAGGAACGUUUAAGACUAAGACGUUGAUAGGCUGGGUGUGUAAGUGCAGCGAUGCAUUGAGCUAACCAGUACUAAUGAUCCGUGAGGCUUAACCUUACAACACCGAAGGUGUUUUAG